CCUACGGGGGGCUGCAGUAGGGAAUAUUGCUCAAUGGGGGAAACCCUGAAGCAGCAACGCCGCGUGGAGGAUGAAGGUUCUCGGAUUGUAAACCCCCUUUGUUAGAGGAGAUAAUGACGGUAUCUAACGAAUAAGCACCGGCUAACUCCGUGCCAGUAGCCGCGGUAAUACGGAGGGUGCAAGCGUUACUCGGAAUCACUGGGCGUAAAGGGCGCGUAGGCGGGAUAGCAAGUCAGAUGUGAAAUCCUAUGGCUUAACCAGAGAACUGCAUUUGAAACUGUUAUUCUAGAGUAUGGGAGAGGUAGGUGGAAUUCUUGGUGUAGGGGUGAAAUCCGUAGAGAUCAAGAGGAAUACUCAUUGCGAAGGCGGCCUGCUAGAACAUAACUGACGCUGAUGCGCGAAAGCGUGGGGAGCGAACAGGAUUAGAUACCCGGGUAGUC
rnacentral:rRNA from 1 species